GAUGAACGCUGGCGGCGUGCUUAACACAUGCAAGUCGAACGGAAAGGCUCCUGCUUGCAGGGGUACUCGAGUGGCGAACGGGUGAGUAACACGUGGGUGAUCUGCCCUGCACUUCGGGAUAAGCCGGGGAAACUGGGUCUAAUACCGGAUAGGACCACAUUUUGGAUGGUGUGGUGGAAAGUUUUUCGGUGUGGGAUGAGCUCGCGGCCUAUCAGCUUGUUGGUGGGGUAAUGGCCUACCAAGGCGUCGACGGGUAGCCGGCCUGAGAGGGUGUACGGCCACAUUGGGACUGAGAUACGGCCCAGACUCCUACGGGAGGCAGCAGUGGGGAAUAUUGCACAAUGGGCGCAAGCCUGAUGCAGCGACGCCGCGUGGGGGAUGACGGCCUUCGGGUUGUAAACUCCUUUCGCUAGGGACGAAGCGCAAGUGACGGUACCUGGAGAAGAAGCACCGGCUAACUACGUG
rnacentral:rRNA from 1 species